UACGUAGGGGUGCAAGCGUUUAAUCGGAAUUACUGGGCGUAAAGCGUGCGCAGGCGGUUAUGUAAGACAGGUGUGAAAUCCCCGGGCUUAACCUGGGAACUGCAUUUGUGACUGCAUAGCUAGAGUACGGUAGAGGGGGAUGGAAUUCCGCGUGUAGGCAGUGAAAUGCGUAGAGAUCCGGAGGAACACCAGUGGCGAAGGCGACACGCUGGGCCGUACCUGACACUGAUGCGCGCACA
rnacentral:rRNA from 1 species